CAGAUAGUAAUUCAAAAUUUGGCCCCAUUGUACCACUAAUACAAGCUCUGCUUCUAGCCCCCUUGAUCAAGUUGAUGACAGUUUUUCACAGUGGAAACAUCCUUCUGUGCAUCGCGCUCUUUCUCAGGUUGAUCUUGCAAUUGAACUCAUAGAGGACCUCUUGGGUGUUAUUCAGAAUGCUCCCCAAUCUAUUGCUCGUGCUCGCUCUGCAUUGAAGUAUA